rnacentral:rRNA from 1 species
ACGUGCCAGCAGCCGCGGUAAGACGUAGGACGCGAGCGUUAUCCGGAUUUACUGGGCGUAAAGCGCCUGCAGGCGGUCAGGUAAGUCGGUUGUGAAAGCCCCGUGCUCAACGCGGGGAGGCCAAGCGAUACUGCGUGACUUGAGGGCGGAAGAGGGGAGUGGAAUUCCCGGUGUAGCGGUAAAAUGCGCAGAUAUCGGGAGGAACACCAGUGGCGAAGGCGGCUCCCUGGACCGCACCUGACGCUCAGAGGCGAAAGCUAGGGGAGCGAACAGGAUUAGAGACCCUGGUAGUCCUAGCCCUAAACGCUGGGUGCUAGGUGUAGGGCUGAUGAGGCUCUGUGCCGGAGCGAACGCGAUAAGCAUCCCGCCUGGGAACUACGGCCGCAAGGCUAAAACUCAAACGAAUUGACGGGGACCCGCACAAGCAGCGGAGCGUGUGGUUUAAUUCGAUGCUACACGAAGAACCUUACCUGGGUUUGACAUGCUGGUGGUACCGAACCGAAAGGGGAGGGACCCUUCGGGGAGCCAACACAGGUGCUGCAUGGCUGUCGUCAGCUCGUGCCGUGAGGUGUCGGGUUAAGUCCCGUAACGAGCGCAACCCUUGCUCUUAGUUAUACGUGUCUAAGGGGACUGCCGGCGACAAGCCGGAGGAAGGUGGGGAUGACGUCAAGUCAGCAUGGCCUUGAUAUCCAGGGCUACACACACGCUACAAUGGCCGGUACAAAGGGCAGCCAAGCCGCGAGGUGGAGCGAAUCCCAGCAAAGCCGGUCCCAGUUCGGAUUGCAGGCUGCAACCCGCCUGCAUGAAGUUGGAGU